GACGAACGCUGGCGGCGUGCUUAACACAUGCAAGUCGUACGGUAAGGCCCUUUCGGGGGUACACGCGUGGUGAACGGGUGAGUAACACGUCUGUAACCUGCCCACAACUUUGGGAUAACGCUAGGAAACUGGUGCUAAUACUGGAUAUGUGCUCCUGCUGCAUGGUGGGGGUUGGAAAGCUCCGGCGGUUGUGGAUGGACUCGCGGCCUAUCAGCUUGUUGGUGGGGUAGUGGCCUACCAAGGCGGCGACGGGUAGCCGGCCUGAGAGGGUGACCGGCCACAUUGGGACUGAGGGACGGCCCAGACACCUACGGGAGGCAGAAGGGGGGAAGAUUGAACGAUGGGCGCAAGCCUGAUGCAGAAGGGCCGCGGGCGGGAUGACGGCCUUCGGGUUGUAAACCGCUUUCAGCAGGGACGAAGCGUUUUGUGACGGUACCUGCAGAAGAAGCACCGGCUAACUACGUG
rnacentral:rRNA from 1 species